GAAAGAGUGGCGUAAGAUUUCUCACAUUCCCUCCGUAGUUAUCCAAGGAAAAAUGAUCACAUGAGUGUCGCUUCCGGUUUGUUGCAGGUAAAAGUAUUCCAUUUUGGGGGAACAUGUAUGAUUUCAACAUGUCUUGCAUUCGAUAAGAGGUUGUCAUGGAUGUUGCCCAAUUUCCUGUAGUUGAUGUCCUAGACCAUCAAGAUUUAGUCACCAGUUCUUCUACACUUCAGGGAAUGUAAGCAAUCUUGCGCCAUUCUUUCCCUCGCUUCCUCCGCCAACUUGCUUCAAGUAAUGGACAUUGAGAGAUACUGAGUACAAAAAGAGAGGAAGGCAAUCCCUGUUCUGGCAGCGA